CCUACGGGAGGCAGCAGUGGGGAAUCUUGCGCAAUGGGCGAAAGCCUGACGCAGCCAUGCCGCGUGAAUGAUGAAGGUCUUAGGAUUGUAAAAUUCUUUCACCGGGGACGAUAAUGACGGUACCCGGAGAAGAAGCCCCGGCUAACUUCGUGCCAGCAGCCGCGGUAAUACGAAGGGGGCUAGCGUUGCUCGGAAUUACUGGGCGUAAAGGGAGCGUAGGCGGAUAGUUUAGUCAGAGGUGAAAGCCCAGGGCUCAACCUUGGAAUUGCCUUUGAUACUGGCUAUCUUGAGUACGGAAGAGGUAUGUGGAACUCCGAGUGUAGAGGUGAAAUUCGUAGAUAUUCGGAAGAACACCAGUGGCGAAGGCGACAUACUGGUCCGUUACUGACGCUGAGGCUCGAAAGCGUGGGGAGCAAACAGGAUUAGAUACCCUGGUAGUCCACGCUGUAAACGAUGAGUGCUAGUUGUCGGCAUGCAUGCAUGUCGGUGACGCAGCUACGACAUAAGUACACGUCCGCCGUCGGGAGGUACGGUCGCGAGAAGUUAAACGUACGUAAAGUUAAGUUAGUACGGCGUUGAGACGNGCCGACGGACGACGACGAGGGAGGAGG
rnacentral:rRNA from 1 species